CCGCAGUUUGGUCAGAUUCAUGUUUGUAGCUUCGAGAACACUGUCCAACCAUCUGGUCCUCUGUCGUCCCCUUCUCUUGCACCUUCCUGUGGCAUCCCUAUGAAGACAAAUACGGUACAGUACUGUAGUUGUUAUCUCCCAUUUGGAAAGCUGUAUAUGUAUCCUGUUUCCCCCCUCCCACCCGAGACACAUUAUACCUACAGCUUACAGUUGCACAACAAGACAGGCUCAUUUAAGGUUAAAUAAGAGAUUCUACUUGUUCUACAGGUUUCUCCUCUUUCUUCAUGUUUGCAGUCUUGCAAAAUGAAUAACUGGGCUAGUUAGUCUUUCUUGUUUAGCAGGAAAGGCAGUUCCAAGGCUCCCAAGAAUUUGAAGGGUAACUGUAGUUGCUUAAGCCCCCACUCAUUUCAUUUUAUUUCACUUUUAAUUUGUACAGCACCUUUCUAUAUUGCUAUAAACAAGGCAGUUGAGAAGCUGAAAAAACAACAAAAUAUACAACAAAGAUCACACAUCUUAUAACAGUCUGAUCCUAUACAAAUAGGUCAAAAUUGAAAAUGCGACUUUAAAAUAAGCAAUUUAUAUCAAAUUAGGUAAUAUGCAAUAUUAAUAUUAAUAAUAUUAACUCUAAGAAUAUCAGUGAAUAAUAAUUAAACAGAAAAUCACUCCCAACAGUUUCAAUGAAUCAUUACUAAACUAUGAGCAAUAAAAAUAACAGCAAAGUCACAAUACGUAAAAUAUCACAAUACAUUUAAAAAUCAUGUUAAAAUACCAUACUGAGUAACAAGAUAACUUACAAAAUAAUUUUAAUUUUUUAUAAAAUCUGAACUCCCCAGCCACUUCUGCUGCUCUUAAACAUGGCUUGGGAGAGGCUGUUGCUCAGUUAGUCUCAGUUAAGGGUGUGGGAGGCUCUUUUUCCCUUCUUCACACUAACUGAGGGAGCUGGCAGGAUGCUAGGACGGUUGUAACCGUUAAAGUGAGACAGUAGCAAGCUGUUAUGACUAGUCACAUCUCCCAGCCUCUCUUGGAUUGUUGUGCUUUUUGGUUUUUGUUGUUGGUUUUAAUGCAAGUCGCUAUGAGUUGUCUUGUAAGAAAAGGAACUAACAAAUGCAAUAAAAUAAUGCCUCCUUUUUUAGAACUGUAGUCCUUAAAGGGCCAGCUCUCUAGCUGCAGACAGGGCCUUCUGCCUGUGUGGUGUAGUGGUUAAGAGCGGUAGACUUGUAAUCUGGUGAACUGGGUUCGGGGCCCACUCCUCCACAUGCAGCUGCUGGGUGACCUUGGGCUAGUCACACUUCUCUGAAGUCUCUCAGCCUCACUCACCUCACAGAGUGUUUGUUGUGGGGGAGGAAGGGAAAGGGGAUUGUUAGCCAUUAGACUCCUUAGGGUAGUGAUAAAGCGGGAUAUCAAAUCUAAACUCUUCUUCUUCUUCUUCUUCUUCUUCUUCUUCUUCUUCUUCUUCUUCCAGGCAUCCUCUCCCUAUGCUAUUGGAGGUAGGCCUGGAGGCACUCAGUUCCUUGGGUCAAGGGGAAAGUGGACUCAAUGAAAUCUGAUUCAGGGGGCUAAUGCCUGCUAGCUUCCCUAAACAGAUGUCUUCUAAAAGUCUGGUAGUUGUUUUUCUCUUUGACAUCUGGUGGGCGGGCGUUCCACAGGGCGGGUACCACUACCGAGAAGGCCCUCUGCCUGGUUCCGUGUAACUUGGCUUCUCGCAGCAGGGGAACUGCCAGAAGGCCCUCAGCACUGGACCUCAGUGUCCGGGCGGAACAAUGAGGGUGGAGACGCUCCUUCAGGUAUACUGGACCGAGGCUGUUUAGGGCUUUAAAGGUCAUGAGUUCAUGAGCAAAAAAGACAGCUGAGUUUUUCAACUACCUAAAAUAGCUCUUCAGGAUGAUAACAUGGAUGCAGUGCUGGAAGAGAAGCAAAUGUAUUCAGUGCCAGCAAUGCCAAUAAAAGGAAUUAACUAUUUAGUCCCAGCUCCUGCCAACCUAGCAGUUUGGAAGCAUGUCAAAGUGCAAGUAGAUAAAUAGGGACUGCUCCGGCGGGAAGGUAAACCGCAUUUCCAUGUGCUGCUCUGGUUUCGCCAGAAGCCUCUUCGUCAUUCUGGCCACAUGACCUGGAAAAACUGUCUGUGGAAGCGGACAAACACGGGCUCCCUUGGCCUGUAAAGCGAGAUGAGUGCCGCAACCCCAGAGUAGUCUGCGACUGGACUUAAUUGUCAGGGGUGUUUUAUCUUUACCUAUCAUUAGUUUUCGAUCACAACCUCUUCAUCAAUAAAAGACCCUCCCCUUAAAAACCAGAGAUCUGCCUUUAUUUUAGUCAGUGAAAGAUGGAAAAGUAAUUAAGUAUUGUACACCCAAGAAUCCAAGACUUGGUAGUGUGAAAGUUGAUUAACAUUUCCUGUAUGAAUCAAACAUUUCUGUUUACAACGUAUUUUCUUUAUACUUAGGUUGCUCAAGACUUUCUUCCAUAGACGUAAUUGUUAGGAGUUGUCCAUCUUUCGUGUUUUGACUUGCCGCUUAAAUAUUCUUUUUAUUACAGAAACUUCAGAGUGUUAAUUAAACUAUAGAUUUGUGUCUAUUGUUUAGAGUGUAUUCAAGCCCCAAGGCAAGAUUUAAGCACCAUUUUUGCAAUGUCACCAUUUUAGAAAACAGGGAUUGUCGCAUUCACUAUUCUAGCUACUGCAAGUUGAGUAAAGUUAUGGGAAAUGUCCUUGGUGGCAACAAAAAUGAAGUUACACACUCCUACUUUUCAGGGCCACACACAACCAACUUCACAUUUCCUCACCCUGUGGUUUUUUUUAGAAAAAGAAGAUGAAACUAUGGCUUGAGACCUUCCUAACUAGGAAGGGAAGCUUCUUAAUCACAUUCCCUUGCAAGUGAUAAGGAAGCAUGAUUUGCCAUUGCAUCUGAAUGCAGCUGUGCUUUUGCAAUACUGUCUAUGAUUUAAUCACACACAUGCUAUCAGAUUAUAGCCGAGGUUGGGCGUUCCAUUUACCUGUGUGUAAAGAAAUGUACAAAUGAGUGUGAGCGCAUGCUGCCAAGCUUUGCUCCCUCUGGGGCAUUGCCCUUCAUCUUGUAAUACUGAGGAUGUAGUUCUGAAGAAUGGCAAGUUCUCUACUCAUGGAGGCUUCUCACAUCAUUUAGAGCUUUGCACAGGAUUUGCCCUGAAACAGGUAGAGGGCAGUAAACAUAACCAAAGGCAAUGUGCCAGAGGAGGCAGGAUAUUAUUAUUAUAUUACUUUAUACUGUGUUUUUUCUAUAUUUAUGUGAUAAAUAAAUAAAAGAGAUGCAGGACUCUGAGUAAAGGAGACUGAAGCAGAAAAGGUGGCAGGGGGGACCAAUCAAGGAAAGUGAGAACCUGGAUUAUCAUAACUACUAGAGAAGUGUUGACUUCCUGCAAGGGUCCCUAACCCCUGUGGGCUUGUGGGUGCAUUUUGAAAUCUGUCAUGGGCACCACAAAAUACCCAUUUAGCAGAAGAAAAACUGAACACCCCCUGAACAACAAAGCAAUGGAAAAAUUCAAGCAAAUUCCCAAAAUAAAUGAGCUUUAAAAAAACCACAUUUACAAAUAAAAAUUGGGUGGGAUAGGAGGUCUUGGUGGGUAUCAUGAGAAAGUCUUUGUGCCAUGCUUGGGAUCCCAGGAUUUCCACAUGAAGCCUCCAGAAAGGGGAGGUAAUGCUCAUUUGGAACCCAGUAAUGCUAGAGUGAGCCAUAACCUGCUGAGGAAGGAGACACUCCCAGCCAAUUAAGGUCAAGCCAUCUGUAGGCGGUCUGCUAUUGCAAAAAAGAAAAUGCUUUUGUGUGGGCAGAGCUUGGGACAGAAAAUGUGCAGCACAUCAUGUGGGGACUUGUAGUACAGUUUUAUAACAUCUAAGUUGAAACGAUGCUGAUACCGUAUUGGGGGACAUGGUAACAAAUGAAUGUUGUUGUUUUUUUAAAAAAAAAUUAUUGAAUGAAUUUAUGUUACAAAAAACAAUACAACCAUACUACCACUAAAUAUAAUUAAGAAAUAAAAAUUACAUACAUCAAUAUUUAGUUUGUUAUUUGUUAUUUACCGUCUUAUUUCCUCCCAAACAUUCCAUACAAAAACACACAUAUAUGCAGACACCUACACACACAAACACAAAAUGAUAAUAAUGAAAGUAAAUUUCCCCCCCUUUUAGCUUCCAAAAUCUUUUUUCAACUUUGACUUCCUGUCAAGUCCCUUAGCAUAUAUUUUAUCUUACAAUCGAAUAUACACAGAACAAUAAACAUUUCUAUAUAAAUUUACCCAUAUAUUCUGAAAACAUAAUAAAUCCUUAAUUGUUGUCCACCUCCUUUUAGUUCCUUUAUCACUCGAAUGCUGGCACGGAGUCAAAACUAUUAUUGUAUUUUUGAACAUACCUUCUAUAACCAUCCCAUUUUUCUGCAAAUUUUUGCUUUGAGUUUCCUCUGAGUUUGCUAGUCAAUUGAGCCGUCUCCACCAAUUCCUGUAAUUUGAUUUGCCAAUCUGUUAUUUUUGGAGCCUUGUGAUCUUUCCAUCCCUUGGCCACAAGUAUACGAGCCGCUGCGGUUGCAUACAAGAAUACCUCUCUUAGUUUUUUUGGGAUCUCUUUAUCUAAAAUACUUAAUAGAAAUGCCUCCGGUUUUUUAGUAAAGGUUAUCCCCAUGAUCUUUUUUAAUUCAUCGUAUAUUCCCCCCCCCCAAAUCUUAAUCUUUUCACACGUCCAUCACAUGUGGAUCAUGUCACUGUUAUUUCCUCCACAUCUCUAACAAGCAUCCGACAAAUUUUUAUACAUUCUUGAUAAUCUGGAAGGAGUGACCUAUGAGCCGUUUUCAUCGUGGUCUCUCUUAUACUAUAAAGGUAAAGGUAAAGGGACCCCUGACCAUUAGGUCCAGUCGUGACUGACUCUGGGAUUGCGGCACUCAUCUCGCUUUAUUGGCCGAGGGAGCAGGCGUACAGCUUUCAGGUCAUGUGGCCAGCAUGACUAAGCUGCUUCUGGCGAACCAGAGCAGCGCACGGAAAUGCCGUUUACCUUCCCACCGGAGUGGUACCUAGUUAUCUACUUGCACUUUGACGUGCUUUCGAACUGCUAGGUUGGCAGGAGCAGGGACCGAGCAACGGGGGCUCACCCCGUCGCGGGGAUUCGAACCACCAACCUUCUGAUCGGCAAGUCCUAGGCUCUGUGGUUAAACCCACAGCACCACCCACGUCCUCUCUUAUAUUAUAGCUGGCUGUAAAUUUCAAAUUUACAUUCCAUAAGUUUUCCCAAUCUUUUAGCAUAAUUGGACGGCCCACAUCUUGGGCCUGCAACAAAUGAAUGUUAAUGAUCUUAAAUUUACUUCCCUUUUCUGAUAAUUGCCAUUCCUGUUUACCUAUGCAUGUUUAACCUGGCCUGUGCAGUAUUGCUCCAUCCCAGUGUGUCUAGGAGACCUGUAUGAAACUUGCAUUUCUGCUAAACUGACAUAGCAUUCUGCAGUUAGCCUCAGGUCCUGCGCCUCUUUCAUGUGAACAAGCCUUCUGACAGGUUUCCCACAGGGAGCGUAUUAAUUUUGUCUUCUGAUUCAUCCCUGGAGCCGGUUCAAGAUGUUGGUAGUGCUUUGUAAGAGGUACAUCUUAGUUGCUGUAUCUCUUGGUCUUUGAGUAAUAACACUCGUGGGAGAAUAAUUUUUAGUGAGUGGAAAGGCUUUAAAAGCCAGGCAAAUAGAAGUGGAGUAGAGAAGGAGGGGCCACUAGGGGCGCAUCGGAAGAUGGCUGACAAUAACAUCUCUCCGACCCACAGGAGGUAAUUAGGAGGCUGUGAUGGGAGUAAAUAGCCUCCCUACCCCCCCAGGAUUGUGGGCGGGGGCUGCCUUUGCCUGCUGUGCCCUAUACCACCCCCGAAUUUGUGGGGAUGGGGGCACUAGGCAGAAUGCCCUUCUGUGGAUUUCGGUGCUCCUGGACGCUGUCUCUGAUCCGCGCCGCUAGCUGCAAGAACUUCAAAAGGAAUAAUUAGGAAGUAGCAAAUGCACAUAUUUCAAGGAAGGAGGGGGAGUAAAGACUGCUAACUGAAGAGUUCUCUGAUAAACAAGACGAGUCGGAGGAACAAGAAUCAAUCAUGAGAAGAUAUGCCACGACUUGGUAUGGCAAAGGGACUGGAUGGGGGAGGGGGAAAAAACUUUCCUUUCUUUCCUCUAUGUGAUUAAAUAAGAAUCCCCCCCCCCUUACAAGUCAGAAAUGCCGUUUUAAUGACUUAAGCUGUGGAUUUACAACUGUGUGGAGAUGAAUUUUCUAACCAAAGCAUGUUUUAAGAAGAGCGUGGAAAGUUUAAGAGCUUUGGAAUGAUGCAGUUGAAAAUACCGUCGCCAUGAUGGCCAGCUCUGUCGGAGGACUUGAGUCUGGGAGGAGGAAAAGAGAUGUUUUUAUAUUGUGAGUGACUCCUCAGUGGGACUUAAGAACGACAGAUCCUGAGAUUAAUGAUGGAAAGAGCGAUGUUAUUUAUGAAAGUGAUGAUAUAUGGAAACCAUCUCGAUACGAGGAUUGGACGAAUGGAAAAAUUCACACAGGAUAUAAUUGGUGUUUAUCUGCUUAAGGAGAUUAUCAGAAGAGAUCAUAAAGAAAAAAAGAAAAAACAUACGAACAAGAUGAGAUGUGGAAACAGCAAGAUAAGACUGGAUAGAAUUAUGAACUUUAUUUGGACUGAUUUGGACAUUAACGCAGUAGCAAGAAGAUGAUCAGAAUCCCCCUUCGGAUCUUGAAAUAUGGGUCCCCUCAACAAAAAAAUAAAAUUCGGCUUUGCAAUUCAGAAUUUAUGUGAUGUGAUUUGAUUGGUUGGUUAAUAAAAAUUAUUUUUUAAAAAAGAAAAAAGAAAUGGAGUAGAGUAUAUUAGAAUCAUCCAUGAAGUACAAUAAGAAAAUAUAGAAAAUUCAAGAGGAGGGGCAUGCCAUGAGCAUCAGGGAAGGCACAAAGUUUUAGCUGCCAGCUUCAUUUUGGAAGUUGAGGCGAGGGUGAGUCAAGCUCCAUAAGAUAAUUAUGGCAGGCAAGUAUUUUGCUGCAGGAGACACCUCUUCAUUCUUAAUUCUUAUGCACAUGGAGAAAAUGACCUUCAUGCACACAAUUUUCAGAAGUCUUCCAUAUCUUCCCUUUGUAGGGCAUCCUUUAGGAAAGGAGGAUGAGCACUAUGCAAACCCAUGUUUUACAUCACAUAAUUUUUUUCCUAUCACCAACCAGCUCAAUGGGUUGUUGUUUUUUACACGCUGACCUGGUGUGCACUGAGAGAUUGGUGUAAAUAAAUAAUCCAUUUUAACCAUGCUAAACAAUUUGGAUUCCCUUCUCUCCCCUAUUACAACAUGCCCAUCUGGAAAUGACUGUUGCAUUGCACCAAGGCAACAUGGAAGGGAUAGAAACAGGUUACAUUGCAGAAGGCUUACAUCCAGCAAGGGUCGAAAUAAGGAAGACAAGAUAAGAGCGACUGUGGUCGUUGGACCAACAGUGGUCCACGAGUAUCAUUCAGGUGGUCCACAGUAUGCUUGUAAAAAUACAGUUAAAAACCAUACAGCAUCUAGCACAGUGCAUUAAAAUUGCUACAAUGGGCAGAAAAAAUCCACCAAGACCCUUAGCAUUUUUCAGGUGGUCCAUGGAGUAGCAAGUUUGGGAAGCACUGUGUUAGUGCUUCAUAAUGUAUUGUGAAGUUUAAAUGUUGGGUGUAUGGGGUGUUAGGGGAGCGGUAGUACCUCUGAUGUGGGACACGUUGUGCUCCUUCUGGGGUAGUUUGUCCACCUUUGGUCCCCGCGCUGCAAUCACCUCUCACCUGUGGAUCUUCGAAGCUGUCAGCAUGAGACAGCGACCAUAACUUGGGAAAUGGCUUCGACUGGCUGACUAAACCAGGUGAGGGUAGCAGACGGGUCUCAAAUCUUUGGUGAGCCAUGAAUUUGCCCUGCAGACAAAGACAGGCUCUGGUGGAUUGAGCGAAUGAGACCAAUAGUGGGUCCAACAGUCAAGAAAGCGGUUAGUGCAAGUGCUGUAGAGGGAAGUGAGGGGCAGAUGGGACUCAUCAACCUGGAGAAGAGAAAGAAAACUCUGAUCCUAAACCUCUGUUGCCUUGUGGGAUAUAUUUGAGAGAAGAAAGGGCUAAGGAGUAAACCCUACACAAAUCUGGAGUAGAGUCCCUAAGAUGGUUGGAUGGUACCUUGUAUGCCUCCUUCUGGCAACUCCUGCAGCCAAGCUGGUGCCAAACGUAUUGCUCUGCUUUGGGACCACUUCAGUGAGGCCGAAGGGGGAGGGUCUUGUCAUCUGGGCAGCCCAGGACCACCAUACACACUGCAUAGCAGUGGUGUGCAGUCAGUGGGCUAGGGGGACUGGACUAGUCUCCUAAAUGUUUCCAGUAAAUUAGAGUAUUAAAGACUCGUGCCUCCUUCCCAAAGCCUGGGAAGCUUCUGCCCAGCUUAAGGAGAGCGGUGCGAUGCUCCGACAGGAUCCAAGAGCCCUUCCGCCACAUUCCCAAAGCCAACCCAACUUUGGGAAGAAAGGAGCAAGGCUCCAGCAUCCUGUCAAAAGUCUUGUGCCUUCUUCCCAAAGCCCGGGAUGCUUCUGCCCAGAUUAGGGAGGGAGGCACAAUGCUCACACGUGGGACGCUGGGCCCCUCCCAAGCUGGCGCCUCUGGCCCUAACUGUUUCCCUACAAAAGAAUUCACCACACACCACUGCUGCACAGGCUUGUGCCCCAGGGAGGUCACUAUGGUGCUGCGAACACAGCAGUUCAACUUCACCACCCGAGGACCACGCCAUUGUCUUUCAAGACAGACAGAAGCCAACAGCCAAAUAUUGGACAGCCAGAUUCAAUGAAAGUAUUUCCUAUCUUCUUGUUGAUACUACAUUCCCUCCUUAAACAGAGAAAGGAAGGGAUAAUGGGUCGUAUUUAGUCUCACACCACAAGGUAUGUAUGUAAUAGCAAAAUAAAGCAAUUAAAGAAACCUAGCAUUCAAAUACAUACUGUUCACUAGGGGAAAGUGCUAUCUUCAUGCCUUUGCUUCAAGGCAUACGGUAUUGUGUCAUUUCCAGUCAGCGUAGGAGGAAUUUUUCCAGCUUUUUUCCCACAGCAUAAUGAGUCCCAAAGGCACGCCGUUCACCCCCCCACAUCUGCACCUAAUUUAGUUUCCUUCUAUGCCUAAGAGCCGGUGUGGAAUUUGGAGUAGGGCAGAAUUUAUUCAUGUAUGCAAAGGUGUUUUGAACCCAGUAGCUGCUUGCUUUGAACAUUAUUGACAUGCCUUACAAGAACUGAGAGUGGUAUUGGGAGAGGUUUCACUUUCCAUGGUGUGCUGUGGGCCAUGUCUUUCAUCCCACUGUUACCUCUGAUCAAAGUUGUUACUAUUUUAAACAACCCAAAUCCUCUUUAUAAGAGGCAGCAUUGGACUGUGUACACACAAUGAGCAGGGUUUUCAAAGUGCCUCUGGCACUGAAAAACUAUUGUCUUCUCUCCAGCCCAUGUUAUCUUGAUUCACUGAAGGAUACCACUAUAUUAGCAGAUUUUUCUCACCUAUUAAUACAUUAGCAAAGUCUAUCUAUAAAGCCAGAGUUCUUUUGCCUACUUUCCCCCCUAAAUGCAUCUCUUACCCUUUAUUUCCCCGUCCUCUUGUAUUUGGGGAAUGAUGCUGGCGGUUCAGAUAAGAACAGUAGAAACAGUGGCCCAUGCUUCCUAUUCCUAUAAAUGUCAGACUUUUUAUUACUGUAUAUCAAUUAGACAGCACCAGCAUGGUGUUUUACAGAAUUUCACAAACCAAAACACAGACAACUCCCAAGGAGCUUAACUUCUAAAACAUGACAUUUAUUUUUAAAAAGGAUGCCCCAAACAGGGAGGAUUCCAAGCCUGUAGAGGAGGUGGGAAGACAAGCUGGCAGAAAAAACAUUAUGCUAAAUGAAAAGUGAGGAAUUAAUAAAAUCCCACAGCAGGGGCGGCGGGGGGCGGGGGAGAGAAUAAAAUACUAUGUUGUGCUGGUGGAGACUCGUUUCACAACAUAUUUUUCUAAUUUUGUAUCUGAGAUAGCUGCGCUGCUGGCACACUUGCAAAGGCAUUCCAUUGAACAUAGCAGGCCUGGUAUCAAGGCAAAUUUAUUUGUGAUUAAUUCCCUAAGAAGGGACACUCAUACACUGUUCCGGUGUUGUACACUUCCUGUAGACUUCAGUUAAGACAAGGUAGUCCCUCAGAGAAUAUGGGAUUUACAGUGGUACCUCGGGUUACAUACGCUUCAGGUUACAUACGCUUCAGGUUACAGACUCCGCUAACGCUGAAAUAGUGCUUCAGGUUCAGAACUUUGCUUCAGGAUGAGAACAGAAAUCGUGCUCCAGCUGCGCGGCAGCAGCAGGAGGCCCCAUUAGCUAAAGUGGUUCGCAGGUUAAUAACAGUUUCAGGUUAAGUACAGACCUCCAGAACGAAUUAAGUACUUAACCACUAUAUAGUCCUGGAGGGCAAGACUACAAAUCCCAUCUUCCCUGACCAUUGGCCAUUAAUGGCUGGGGCUGAUUGGGGUUAGUGUCAUGGGCUGGCCAAGUCAGGGCAGUGCAGAUGGAGGACUGGUCGAGCACCCAGGGGAAAUCUCCAGUGGGAUGUGGGGACCUCUACACAGAGUGGGGCAGUCUGUUAGUGAGGGUCCUGCAGGGCGGGUAGCUCCUGCAGCCUGCUGUCUUGCCUUAGCCACCCAUAUGAAGAAAGCUGCAAGCCCCACCUCACUUUCCGUCCCCAGCCUCUCCAGGGCUGUUGGAGCAUCUUUCGGACACUCCCGAGAUGCAAUCAGAUACUGGGAGUAGCUCUGCUUACCCAGGAUGGAUGUUUCACCAGUCUCAACCACCCCUCAGGAAGCAGAAGCACAAGGAGAAGCCAAAAGGGAAGGGAACAGAGGGUUCUACCUACUGUUAGUUAUGUACUGAAGUUCUCACCCUGGGCCAGCAGGGGGAUACUGUAGAUAGUUAUGCAAAUAAGGGAUCGAAAGUGAUGUUCAGUGAUUGGAUAGUUUUAGAAAAUUGUUACAGUUACAUUGUACUGGAGCUCUAUAUAAGCAGGCUGACUGAACCCUUCAUUUCAGUUCUGUGCCUGUGAAUAAACAAGAGCUUUUUGAAGAAUCGCUGUGUCGUCUGAUAUGUUCACUCACAACUUAACACCUACUAAGCAUGCUGAGAGGUUGUGGAGACGCUUGCUGAACCACGAUGAACCUGUCUAAUUCCUAUAAAGAGGAUAGCAAAGGGGUGUGACCAUGUUGAAUCAAGGUCUCAAGCUUUGGCAGUUACAACACCUACCUUUUUUAUAGCUGUAUUUAGGACUGACCUAAGGAUCUUCAGCAAGUGGGAGCCAGGACAGCCAGAGCCUGACAACAUCUAGUUGGCUAUCCAUGCCAGUUAUGCCAUCUAAUCUUAAAAAGCUAUUGUGAAAUUGUUUUGAUAGAGAGGCAGGCCAAGGCUGGUGCUUAAAAUGCAGAUUUGGAGAAGAAAAAUACAAGGGACCAGCAGAUCCAAGCGUGAAAGACUUGCAAAGUGGUACACUGCAAAAUGUGUGCUGCACUUUAAGAACGGAAAAGCUUAUAUUUGCAUCAGCAGAAAAUGAUCCGUGGAGGAAACUUCACCCACCCACCGCCAAAAAAACCAAAUGUCUGGUUUAGAAGAGCAGGCCCUCCAAGUGGCCCUAUUUUCCAGGGAUGUCCCUGAUUUAGAGAAGCCAUCCCAGUUUCUGAUUUGAUCCCAGAAUGUCCCGCUUUCCCUUAGGAUGUCCCUAUUUUCAUUGGAGAAAUGUUGAAGGGUAUGGAGUUGUCCAAUCGCUGAGCCGCCUGAAGGGAAGGUUUUUUAAAAAUGUUUUCUUGUGUUUUUAUAUAUGUUGGAAGCUGCCCAGAGUAGCUGGGGCAACCCUGUAAGAUGUGUGGGGUAUAAAUAGUAAAAUUAUCAUUAUGGAAUGGGCAUCGUCCCUGUUUUCAUUGGAGAAAUGCUGGAGUGUAUGGAAGAGAGAUAUUCCUUAGCACUGCAGCAGGGAAACAACAAUGCAACUACUGGACUACUGCAACAUGCUCUACGUGGGGCUACCUUUGAAGGUGACCCGGAAACUGCAAUUAAUCCAGAAUGCGGCAGCUAGACUGGUGACUGGGAGUGGCCGCCGGGACCACAUAACACUGGUUCUGAGAGAUCUGCAUUGGCUCCCAGUACGUUUCCGAGCACAAUUCAAAGUGUUGGUGCUGACCUUUAAAGCCCUAAACGGCCUCGGUCCUGUAUACCUGAAGGAGCGUCUCCACCCCCAUCGUUCAGCCCGGACACUGAGAUCCAGCGCUGAGGGCCUUCUGGCGGUUCCCUCAUUGAGAGAAGUGAGGUUACAGGGAACCAGACAGAGGGCCUUCUCGGUAGUGGCACCCACCCUGUGGAACACCCUCCCUUCAGAUGUGAAGGAAAUAAGUAGCUAUCCUAUCUUCAAAAGACAUCUGAAGGCAGCCCUGUUCAGGGAAGCUUUUAACAUUUAACGCUGUAUUGUUUUUAAUACUUGAUUGGGAGCCGCCCAGAGUGGCUGGGGAAACUCAGCCAGAUGGGCGGGAUAUAAAUAAUAAAUUAUUAUUAUAAUUUAUAUUCCCCAUCCGCAUCUGCUACAAUCCGAAUGGUCAGCCUCCCUGACUGAUGCUACUUGUAUUAACUGUGGUUUGGCCCUCACUCAUCCGGUGCUGAGUAUACAACAGUCUGCCAUGUGUCCUGGCUCACAGCCUAUGUGGAAGUGUUUCCCCAGAAGUGGCAGUGGGUGGCAUGUGCCAGUUUACUAACAAAUGGUGACAGGGCUCCUCCCAGCCAUUCUCAUUGCAUGUCUGAAGCAGCACAGUGCUACUUAAGGCUACACUGUGCUUUCUUAACCUAUGUCCCUCCAAACUGUUGAGUAAAGGGGCUUGUUGAUCUAAUGGGAAACAUUUCUCGCCACAUUUCAUUCUCACCAUCCUUCCUAGGGUCAUGGGCCAGUGGUGGGUGGGGCCAGGGGCAAAAGUGGGUGGAGCAACAAGUGUUGAUAUUAUUAUUUAUUUAAUAUAUCACGCCUUUCUCAAGGGGGCUUGCAACAUUUAAAACUUCUCCCCAUAGGAACUUAGGUGGACCCAGUGAUCAUCAUCUGCGGCCCUUCUUUAUAUGUCUCCCCCAUGAGAGGUCCAUAGGGUGACAACACGAGAAUGGGUCUUUUCUGUGGUGGCUCCCCAUUUGCGAGAAUGCUCUCCACAGAGAUGCUUGCUGGUGCCUUCAUUGCAUAUAUUUAGACAUUAAUCUUCAACCAAGCCUUUGGCUGAUUAACAUUCUAUGUCCUCUUAAAUGUCUUUGUGGGAGAAUGCUUUUUCUUUUUAAUGUAUUUUGUGUUCUCAUUUUGUAUUUUUAUAUUGGGAACUACCCUGUAAUCUUCAGAUGAAGGGCAGUACAGUGGUACCUCGGGUUACAUAUGCGUCAGGUUACGUACGCUUCAGGUUACACACUCCGCCAACCCAGAAAUAUUACCUCAGGUUAAGAACUUUGCUUCAGGAUGAGAACAAAAAUCGUGCUCUGGCAGCGCAGCGGCAGCAGGAGGCCCCAUUAGUUAAAGUGGUGCUUCAGGUUAAGAACAGUUUCAGGUUAAGAAUGGACCUCUGGAACGAAUUAAGUACUUAACCCGAGGUACCACUGAAUAAUAAUAAUAAUGAUGAUGAUGCAAGGCUGUAAGGAGAAAUAGCCACCAUCUAUUACCCAAUGAUCUCACUGCCCUUUCUACAUUUGAGUGCAUGGCUUAGAACUGUCUGUUUUCUUUAGGUACCUGUUUAGACUGCUUAAGGAACGCAGGUGGUGCUGUGGUCUAAACCACUGAGCCUUGGGCUUGCUGAUCAAAAGGUUGGCAGUUCAAAUCCGCGAUGGGAUGAGCUCGAUGGGAUGAGCUCCCUUUGCUCGGUCCCAGCUCCUGCCAACCUAGCAGUUCAAAAGCACUCCAAAAAGUGCAAGUAGAUUAAUAGGUACCACUCUGGCGGGAAGGUAAACGGUGUUUCCGUGCGCUGCUCUGGUGUUGGUGUUCCGUUGCACCAGAAGCGGCUUAGUCAUGCUGGCCACAUGACCCGGAAAAACUGUCUGCGGAGCGGACAAACGCUGGCUCCCUAGGCCUGUAAAGCGAGAUGAGAGCCACAACCCCAGCGUCGUUCGCGACUGGACUUAACUGCCAGGGGUCCUUUACUUUUACCUUUAGACUGCUUAUAUUAAUUGAUACCUUCACUUCAGGAUUGAUGGAACAUUCUUCCUGUUAACAUCAGCUAGUACUGUGGAAGUUGAAAGAGGAGGAGCAGACAGAGGGUGAAGAAAAAGCUGUGAGUGUAGGGGGACCUUUCCCCCAUCCUCUGGACCCCCUGGGAAACUCAGCUGCACUUCGAAAUGGGUAUGGAGAAUGCAGCUGAAUGGAAUACAGCUGAGGGCAGUACCAUCCAUCCUGGGCCUGCCAGGACACUGGGUGAGAACCCAGAGGCUGAGAGGAUGUGUCAGAAG
rnacentral:lncRNA from 1 species